AUGGAACAGCCAAAUACAAAACUGGUGACAUUUAUCCUGGAAAGGCUGAUUUCGUCUGUUCAGUUGUUCAAAGCACAAACCUUUUCGCUCACCAGUCUUCUUCUUUUGUUUAUUUUACUGAUGCAGCGUCUUCAGGCAACACAAGAGACUUCAUUUGUCACAAAUGUAAAACAUAUUUUUUUAAAAUCGUUGUUAGAACAACUGACAGCGACUGGAUCAGACUAGCAGACCUGGUCCAACUUGAUCCCAAAUCAGAUUCAUUGUGGUCUCAGCAGCCCUAAUGUGUUUCCAUCUGCUGCCAGUUGGUGAACCAUUUAACUGUGAAGCAGCUGCAGGAAAUGCUGAUUUAGUAACCAAGACCAGGAACUGAACACUAAUUAAUUUUAAAAAGAAGUCUAGAUUUGCCCAUUUUUCUGCAACUUGAUCAUCAGAGCCUUUCACAGAUUGCUGGAGGCUGAUGGAAGAACAAAGGAUGUAGACAGACUGAGCCUGGUAGACGAAGUGGUGAAGGUCACAGGUACCGAUCGCAGAAACACUUUUCCUGUCGUGUAGAAACAACUACAUCACAAGUUCUGAUCUCGGCUGCUUAAAGGUGCAUCACGGUGCUGGUUUCUGGGAUAAAAAUGGAAAUCAUGAGAUCCUGCUGAAAGAUUUGAUGGAUGUAAAAACAAAAGCAGGAACUCAACCUCAGUAGUUUGAUAAAAACUUUGCAGCUAUGAGGUGAAUUGUCGUCGUUUGAACUUUAUCUGAGGAGCACAUUUAUAUUCAGAAAGUUCUUAACCUUCAAACCUUCUUAACCUUUUACAGAUAACCGCCGGUUGCUGGUGCACAUUAGUCUACUAUGGGAACCCGAUCGUGAUUGAAAUGUGAAUCCAGUCAAAGUUUGAGACCAACUCUGGGUUUCGGCCACGUUAAAUGUCAACCAUUUCGGCACUUUGAUCAACUUUCACUUGUUCCACGAGGAGCAGCUUCACCUGUGGUGUUUGAUGAAGUGAAUUAACUAAAACGUCCGUCUGUUCCUUCUAUCGUAGGAGCCCCUCCCUCCGUCUAAAGAAUGUUUUUAUCUGAUC
rnacentral:lncRNA from 15 species